GGUUGAUCCUGCCAGUAGUAUAUGCUUGUCUCAAAGACUAAGCCAUGCAUGUCUAAGUAUAAACCAAUCUGUACGGUAAGACUGCGAAUGGCUCAUUAAAUCAGUUAGAGUUUAUUUGAUAAUCACUUUCUACUUGGAUAACCGUAGGAAUUCUAGGGCUAAUACAUGCGUAAAACCCCGACUUUUUGGAAGGGGCGUAUUUAUUAGACUAAAACCAACUCAGUGUCUUUCGGGGCGCUGGUGGAUGGUGAUUCAUAAUAACUUUACGAAUCGUAUGGCUUUAUGCUGACGAUGUAUCAUUCAACUUUCUGCCCUAUCAACUUUGGAUGGUAGGAUAGAGGCCUACCAUGGUUGCAACGGGUAACGGGGAAUUAGGGUUUGAUUCCGGAGAGGGAGCCUGAGAAAUGGCUACCACAUCCAAGGGAGGCAGCAGGCGCGCAAAUUACCCAAUCGGAAUACCCGGAGGUAGUGACAAGAAAUAACAAUACGGGAUCCAAAGGGUUUCGUAAUUGGAAUGAGAACAAUGUAACAACCUUAUCGAGUAACAAUUGGAGGGCAAGUCUGGUGCCAGCAGCCGCGGUAAUUCCAGCUCCAAUAGCGUAUGCUAAAGUUGCUGCGGUUAAAAAGCUCGUAGUUGAAUCUCAGGGUGGUAAUGCCGGUCCGCCGAUGGUGAGAACGGUAUUGCUAUUCUUCCUUCUGAACGACAAUUCUGUCCUUCACUGGGUGGGGUUGGACUUCAGAUCGUUUACUUUGAAAAAAUUAGAGUGUUCAAAGCAGGCGCAAGCCUUGAAUACACUAGCAUGGAAUAAUAGAAUAGGACUUUGGUUCUAUUUUGUUGGUUUCUGGAACUGAAGUAAUGAUUAAUAGGGACAGUUGGGGGCAUUAGUAUUCCAUUGUCAGAGGUGAAAUUCUUAGAUUUAUGGAAGACUAACUACUGCGAAAGCAUUUGCCAAGGAUGUUUUCAUUAAUCAAGAACGAAAGUUUGGGGAUCGAAGACGAUCAGAUACCGUCGUAGUCCAAACCAUAAACUAUGCCGACUAGGGAUUGGAGGAAGUGUUUGUUUACUCCUUCAGGACCUUAUGAGAAAUCAAAGUUUUUGGGUUCCGGGGGGAGUAUGGUCGCAAGGCUGAAACUUAAAGGAAUUGACGGAAGGGCACCACCAUGGCGUGGAGCUUGCGGCUUAAUUCAACCCAACACGGGAAAACUUACCAGGUCCAGACACAAUAAGGAUUGACAGAUUGAGAGCUCUUUCUUGAUUUUGUGGAUGGUGGUGCAUGGCCGUUCUUAGUUGGUGGAGUGAUUUGUCUGCUUAAUUGCGUUAACGAACGAGACCUUAGCCUGCUAAAUAGUUACGUGAAAUCUCUUGGUUUCACGGUCAACUUCUUAGAGGGACUAUUCGUGUCUAACGAAUGGAAGCUUGAGGCAAUAACAGGUCUGUGAUGCCCUUAGAUGUUCUGGGCCGCACGCGCGCUACACUGAUGCAGUCAACGAGUAUAUUUCCUUGGCCGGAAGGUCUGGGUAAUCUUUUCAAACUGCAUCGUGCUGGGGAUAGAUUAUUGCAAUUAUUAAUCUUAAACGAGGAAUGCCUAGUAAGCGCGAGUCAUCAGCUCGCACUGAUUACGUCCCUGCCCUUUGUACACACCGCCCGUCGCUCCUACCGAUCGGAUAUUCAGGUGAAAUUAACGGACC
rnacentral:rRNA from 1 species